CCUACGUGAGGCUGCAGUGGGGAAUAUUGCACAAUGGCGGAAACCCUGAUGCAGCGACGCCGCGUGAGUGUAGAAGUAUUUCGGUAUGUAAAGCUCUAUCAGCAGGGAAGAAGAAAGACGGUACCUGACUAAGAAGCACCGGCUAACUACGUGCCAGCAGCCGCGGUAAUACGUAGGGGGCAAGCGUUAUCCGGAUUAACUGGGUGUAAAGGGAGCGUAGACGGCUGUGCAAGUCUGAAGGGAAAGCCCAGGGCUCAACCCUGGGACUGCUUUUGAUACUGUGGAGCUAGAGUGCUGGAGAGGUAGGUGGAAUGCGUAGUGUAGCGGUGAAAUGCGUAGAUAUUAGGAGGAACACCAGUGGCGAAGGCAGCUUACUGAACAGUAACUGACGUUGAGGCACGAAAGCGUGGGGAUCAAACAGGAUUAGAUACCCCAGUAGUC
rnacentral:rRNA from 1 species